AUUGAACGCUGGCGGCAGGCCUAACACAUGCAAGUCGAGCGAGCGGCGGACGGGUGAGUAAUGUAUGGGGACUGCCCGAUAGCGGGGGAUAACUACUGGAAACGGUAGCUAAUACCGCAUACUAUCGGAUAACCCAUAUGGGAUUAGCUAGUAGGUGAGGUAAUGGCCCACCUAGUCGACGAUCCCUAGCUGGGCUGAGAGACUGAUCAGCCACACUGGGACUGAGACACGGCCCAGACUCCUACGGAGGCAGCAGUGGGGAAUAUUGCACAAUGGGCGCAAGCCUGAUGCAGCCAUGCCGCGUGAAUGAAGAAGGCCCUCGGAUUGUAAAGUACUUUCAGUCGAGAAGCGUUACCGACAGAGGAAGCACCGGCUAACUCCGUGCCAGCAGCCGCGGUAAUUC
rnacentral:rRNA from 1 species